UUCGGGGACGUCUUUGAAUACUGUGUUUGUGGCCCACUUAUACCUAUAUUAAAGCAUCAUAAAAUAGAAUGGCAUGGGAUCUUUAAUAUACAAUGCAGAUGUUUUGUCAUUUUGAGAACGCAAAUAUCUGCUGACCUUCUCCCCGAAGUCGAAGCAGGGCGAGGGGAAGGUCAUGUCCUGGCUGCUGAAGGACAGUCGACGGAGGUCUUGUGGAUGAGGGCGUCGCCUCAUUCCCGGGGUCAGGAUCCCCCGCCUCUCCAUGUAGGAGCACCCGUUGGGGUAGGAGCCCAAAGGUCAACAGGCUGACCCCCACAUCCAGACCGUUGUCUGCCCCCUCCGCGUUCAACACCCGGCUCAUCAGACCCUCUGAUAAACACACCCAUGGUUCUCAGGUUAGACACACGUCAUACGAUGACCGAUCACCAACAUUUCAGACAGACUAUCUGAAGACUAAAACUCCAUCCGCAGGCCAAAUGUCGAUGAAAUGCAAGAAAAGCAACAGAGCUACGAUGUCUGUGGAUGCAGGGGUUUGACUCAGGGCAGAGCAAGCAGGGGCUUGGGGAAUAGGAAUCCAUUCAUGGGAGAAUCGGGACUCUUUGAUUAAGCGAUACUUGAUUGAGUAACGUUGUCAGAUUGACACAAAUCAAUACUUUCCUAUAGAGAGCUCUAUAGGAAAGUAUUGAUUUGUGUCUCUCUGACAACAUUGCUCAAUCAAGUAUCGGUUAAUGUUAUGCGUACUCGACAAUCGUCCAUUUGCAUUGAGGACCUGUAGAACAGAAACCACAACGUAAACCUUCCAGAAAGAUCAAAAUACCGUUCCACAAUAUUUACAGAAUCUCAGUAUUCACACAACGGCUUUUCAUAUCGCAUCGUCCCGGCUGAUUCCAGACCCUAGGAGAGACUGCGGUGGGCGGGGCAAGUGGGGAUGUGAACCAAUCACUUUCAGGGAAGCCAGCGAUGGUGAGGAUGUCCUCCAGCUGGACCUUGGCCUCCAGGGUCAUCCUCAGGGUGGACGUGUUGAGGCGCUUCUGCACACACACACACACACACACACACACACACACACACACACACACACACACACACACACACACACACACACACACACACACACACACACACACACACACACACACACACCAGAAGUGAAGACUAGAAUAUAGUUGAUUUCUAUAAUUGCUGGUUUGGUCAAGUGUUGUUUAAUUCAAACCACAUCAUAUAACAUUUAUAGCGCCUAGAAGGGCUGCAAUAGUAACUAGGGCCCCAUCCUAUUAUUCCCCCUAGCCCUAGAUUUGAGCCCUAGCCCUAGAAGUUGUGCGUUCCCUCGGAGGGGUAGGGUGAUCCAAUACUUAGGGGCAAGAGAGAGGGCCUAUUUCCCCUUAAAGUCCCUUGGCAGCUCGCCAGCUCGGUACCUCACUUACAGCCAAGGGAGUAUCACGUAUGACCCAGGACACGUUGAGAACUCAGCAAGCGGCUGUUUUUCCAUGUUUCUCAAACAGUUAGACAUUAUGUUAAAUUAUUUAUCCGUAGACUGGAUUUAACUGUACGAUCUGAAUGUGUAGGUUGUCUUAUUUUCGACACAAGGGUGACAUUUUCAAACGUGAAUGAAAAUAGUAGUAGGCUCCUUCCUGUAGUGUAGACACGUCGGUGCUGCGCGUGACGUAGGGGAGCACGAUCACUACGCUAAUUUGCAUAAUAUUCAUUAUAGUGGUGUCACAUUUCGUAGGGAACGAUCUUCACUAUCACUUCACUCUUUAUUGUGGAGGGAAGUGUUCUCGUUAAGGGGAGAGGAAUGGGACAGGGCCUAGUACUCAUCUAACGAAGCAAGGAUCAACAAUAUAAAGUCACUAGUUAAAAUAGUAACAGGUAACUGUUGGAAAAGCGACGAGUAACUUCAAUACAAGCACUAGUAACUCAAAUGAGUUUGGCUUCUGGACGCAGUGUUCAAACAUAGAUACAGAAUAGACGGGAAUGAGCGCUGGUGGUGGGGAACAGGACGCUCACUUGAAGAGGCCUCCCAUGAUCAUCAUCCCCUCCCUCCUCCCCCUCUUCCUCCUCCACCACCACCUCCACCGCCUCCUCCUCCUCCUUCACCUCCUUGUCCCCCUCCUCCUCUUCCCCUCCCCCUCCUCUAUGAUAUGUAAACGAGCGGUUAUGGUGGGAGCAGGACGCUCCCUUGAAGAGGCCUCCCAUGACCAUCAUCUCCCCCAGGCGGGGCUCCCCGGUGGGCCACGGGGCGUCCCAGAGAGGGCAGCUCGUCGUUGCUGUCCACAGCGUCCACUUCUGGUCGACCAACCCCAAGGAAACAUCAACAAUCCCCACAGAGUCGAUGACGUCGUUGAGGGCGAUGCUGGUCUCUGCGAUGUUGGUGGACAGGACGACCUGCAGGAGACAGGGAACAACAACAGGAGAUGGAAAGGGAUGGGUGGAUUCCAGGCAGCUGGGCAGGCAGAGGAGCACACGGGGUGGAUGGCAGGCAGCUACGGGGUUGGUGAUCCUGGGCCGAGGAGAACGCGGAGAUUUAAAGGUCCAAUGACAUGCCACCAGGUGUGGUGUGAUUAGCCGUUACAAGCCGUUUUGGAAAUCGGCCCCUUAUGACAUCACAGGUGGGCGUGUCCACCUAGAUGUGUGCUGGAUAGAUCAGUCUACUAGCCUACCCAGUGGACUGUAGCAAACGUUGCUCAUCUCUCCGUCAAGUUAUUAAAGAUAUGUGAACCUGUUUAUGAUUUGUAUUUGUUAAUAAACCAUAAAGUUACUAUCCAUCUCGAUGGAUCCAAAUUUUUCUGUAUCACAGGAAGUCGCAUGUGUCAGUUUUAACUGUCUAUCACCUACCUUCUCCUUAAUCACAUAUAUCAGUACUCACUGUCUAUCCCUUACCUGCUCCUUGAUCUCAUAUCAGCAUUCACUGUAAGUAGUGUUGAAAUAAUGCGCAUCUGUUUGUUAAUCAAGCCAUGUGUUGUUACUUAUUGCAUGUGGAGCCACUAGGGGGCAGUGAAUCCACCUCGAUGUAGUUCACCUUCUGGCCAACAAGAAUAACGCGAAGGAGACACAAAGUGUGUGUGUGUGGGUGUGGGUGUGCACCACCUUGCUUUGGUACCUUUCUGAACACCUUCCGGUAAAAGGUGAAACAGUAUGAGGAAGGAAAAAACAAGAGAAGAAUCCAACCCAACAAGAUUAAUGAUUUAACAAAGAGAUAAUGGAGGAAAUAGCCCGGCCUAAUAAAGAAACAUAAAUGACAUGUGAACGUUGAAUCCUGGCCCCUACGACCCAGUCUGACCCUGCUGUGUCUGAUGGUACCGGUCAUACAGUCAGGAGGUUUAAAAAAGUAAUAUGGUGAUGAUUAAAAUGAUAAUUAGAACCCCUAGGACUCCUAAUGUGAUCGAAACGCUCCAAAGUGGGCUAGAAGAUAAUCUCUCUGGAACAGAAAGAGAAAAUAUUUAUUCUUUCUCUAAUAAGGAUGAAAAUAAUAACAAUGACAGCAAGACACAUCCUAAUUCCUUCACAAUAAACAUGACCUACAUUUUUUUGAAGAUGGCUUAUCAGUUACUGGCCCAAUGAACAUGGUUUAGUAAAGAAGACAACGGACACCCUUUCCUUACUCCCCCAAGUGUAAAAACACAAUGUUGCAUUUUACACCACGGAUGUUUGAUUGACUUUGGUCAUUUAAAAUACGAGUUAUAAAAAUGUUUGUUGUAAUACUUAGAUUGAAUUGAAAGUUAGAGAGAGUCGACUUUUCUCUUUAUAUUUAUUUAUUUUUGUUUAAAUUAAUAUUGAUCUAAUAAAAAAAAAAAUACGUACUGGCAAUGAUGGACAAGUAUAACAAAAUGGGGAACAACUUCACGUGACAAAUGAAGAAAGAGGGAACAGAAAUUGUUUGCUUUGCAAAAAACGUCUGCAUUUUUAUUUUCUUGCAGUGUAUAUUGUGUGCUUAAUAACCAUCAAUAUAUGAUUUCAUUUCGUUUCAAAUAAUGUUUUUCUUGGAAUUGGUAUCCAUUAUUAUCAAUUUUAUUUUCUGCUCUUCUCUUCAAACAAACCAAUAAAAAAAUAAAGAAACAAAGAAAAGACAAAUAUUAUGUCUCCUCCAUUUCGGACACUUAGUGCUUCCUCGGGAUACCGAAGAUAGGUGGUAGAGUUCCUCUUGCCAUGUCUCUGCCCUCCUCCGUGAAAUGAGCAAACC